rnacentral:rRNA from 1 species
UACGUACCGUACGAACGUUAUUCGGAAUCACUGGGCUUAAAGAGUCCGUAGGCGGCUUUAAAGGUGAGGUGUGAAAUCCCACGGCUCAACCGUGGAACUGCGCUUCAAACCAUAAAGCUAGAGGGAGAUAGAGGAAAGCGGAACUGAUGGUGGAGCGGUGAAAUGCGUUGAUAUCAUCAGGAACACCGGUGGCGAAAGCGGCUUUCUGGGUCUCUUCUGACGCUGAGGGACGAAAGCUAGGGGAGCGAACGGG